rnacentral:lncRNA from 1 species
GAGACAGGACAUGUAACUGACACACGCAUGCCAGUUAUGGUUAUUCUGAUAAUAGAAAUUGACUCAAGUGACAAUUCUGAUAGUAAAAUAGAAAUUGGACCUAGUGAAAAUUUGGAUGACACCAAGUGAAACACCAAUCAUGCAUCUUAUGUGAAAUUAUAGAAUAUGGAAAAUUUGGAUACAGCAUUGUAGAAGCUGUAGGAUUUUUAAAAGGGUAUUUGUCGAAA